UAGGGAAUAUUGCAAAAUGGGCGAAAGCCCGAUGCAGCAACGCCGCGUGGGCGAUGAAGGCCUUCGGGUCGUAAAGCCCUUUUUGAGGGGAUGAGGAAGGACAGUACCCUCAGAAUAAGCCUCGGCUAACUACGUGCCAGCAGCCGCGGUAAAACGUAGGAGGCGAGCGUUAUCCGGAUUUACUGGGCGUAAAGCGCGUGCAGGCGGAUUGGAGAGUUGGAUGUGAAAGCUCCCGGCUUAACUGGAGAGGUCGUUCAAUACUUCCAGUCUUGAGUGCAGUAGAGGGUAGUGGAAUUCCCGGUGUAGUGGUGAAAUGCGUAGAUAUCCGGAGGAACACCAGUGGCGAAAGCGGCUUCCUGGACUGUAACUGACGCUCAGACGCGAAAGCUAGGGUAGCAAACG
rnacentral:rRNA from 1 species